rnacentral:rRNA from 1 species
CCUUAACCUGCUAAAUAGCCCGUAUUGCUUUGGCAGUACGCCGGCUUCUUAGAGGGACUAUCGGCUCAAGCCGAUGGAAGUUUGAGGCAAUAACAGGUCUGUGAUGCCCUUAGAUGUUCUGGGCCGCACGCGCGCUACACUGACACAGCCAGCGAGUAAAAGUGCCUUGACCGAGAGGUCUGGGAAAUCUUGUGAAACUGUGUCGUGCUGGGGAUAGACCAUUGCAAUUAUUGCUCUUCAACGAGGAAUCCCUAGUAAGCGCAAGUCAUCAGCUUGCGUUGAUUACGUCCCUGCCCUUUGUACACACCGCCCGUCGCUACUACCGAUUGAAUGGCUCAGUGAGGCGUCCGGACUGGCCCAGAGAGGUGGGCAACUACCACUCAGGGCCGGAAAGCUCUCCAAACUCGGUCAUUUAGAGGAAGUAAAAGUCG